AUUGAACGCUGGCGGCAUGCCUUACGCAUGCAAGUCGAACGGUAACGCGGGGCAACCUGGCGACGAGUGGCGAACGGGUGAGUAAUGUAUCGGAACGUGCCCAGUAGUGGGGGAUAGGCCGGCGAAAGCCGGAUUAAUACCGCAUGAGACCUAUGGGUGAAAGCGGGGGAUCGCAAGACCUCGUGCUAUUGGAGCGGCCGAUAUCAGAUUAGGUAGUGGUGGGGUAAAGGCCUACCAAGCCGACGAUCUGUAGCUGGUCUGAGAGGACGACCAGCCACACUGGGACUGAGACACGGCCCAGACUCCUACGGGAGGCAGCAGUGGGGAAUUUUGGACAAUGGGCGCAAGCCUGAUCCAGCCAUGCCGCGUGCGGGAAGAAGGCCUUCGGGUUGUAAACCGCUUUUGUCAGGGAAGAAAUCUUCUGGGUUAAUACCUCGGGAGGAUGACGGUACCUGAAGAAUAAGCACCGGCUAACUACGUGCCAGCCGCCGCUGUAAUAC
rnacentral:rRNA from 1 species